GGGUUGUGAGGUUAAGCGACUAAGCGUACACGGUGGAUGCCCUGGCAGUCAGAGGCGAUGAAGGACGUGCUAAUCUGCGAUAAGCGUCGGUAAGGUGAUAUGAACCGUUAUAACCGGCGAUUUCCGAAUGGGGAAACCCAGUGUGAUUCGUCACACUAUCAUUAACUGAAUCCAUAGGUUAAUGAGGCGAACCGGGGGAACUGAAACAUCUAAGUACCCCGAGGAAAAGAAAUCAACCGAGAUUCCCCCAGUAGCGGCGAGCGAACGGGGAGGAGCCCAGAGCCUGAAUCAGUGUGUGUGUUAGUGGAAGCGUCUGGAAAGGCGCGCGAUACAGGGUGACAGCCCCGUACACAAAAAUGCACAUGCUGUGAGCUCGAUGAGUAGGGCGGGACACGUGGUAUCCUGUCUGAAUAUGGGGGGACCAUCCUCCAAGGCUAAAUACUCCUGACUGACCGAUAGUGAACCAGUACCGUGAGGGAAAGGCGAAAAGAACCCCGGCGAGGGGAGUGAAAAAGAACCUGAAACCGUGUACGUACAAGCAGUGGGAGCCUCUUUAUGGGGUGACUGCGUACCUUUUGUAUAAUGGGUCAGCGACUUAUAUUCUGUAGCAAGGUUAACCGAAUAGGGGAGCCGAAGGGAAACCGAGUCUUAACUGGGCGUUAAGUUGCAGGGUAUAGACCCGAAACCCGGUGAUCUAGCCAUGGGCAGGUUGAAGGUUGGGUAACACUAACUGGAGGACCGAACCGACUAAUGUUGAAAAAUUAGCGGAUGACUUGUGGCUGGGGGUGAAAGGCCAAUCAAACCGGGAGAUAGCUGGUUCUCCCCGAAAGCUAUUUAGGUAGCGCCUCGUGAAUUCAUCUCCGGGGGUAGAGCACUGUUUCGGCAAGGGGGUCAUCCCGACUUACCAACCCGAUGCAAACUGCGAAUACCGGAGAAUGUUAUCACGGGAGACACACGGCGGGUGCUAACGUCCGUCGUGAAGAGGGAAACAACCCAGACCGCCAGCUAAGGUCCCAAAGUCAUGGUUAAGUGGGAAACGAUGUGGGAAGGCCCAGACAGCCAGGAUGUUGGCUUAGAAGCAGCCAUCAUUUAAAGAAAGCGUAAUAGCUCACUGGUCGAGUCGGCCUGCGCGGAAGAUGUAACGGGGCUAAACCAUGCACCGAAGCUGCGGCAGCGACGCUUAUGCGUUGUUGGGUAGGGGAGCGUUCUGUAAGCCUGCGAAGGUGUGCUGUGAGGCAUGCUGGAGGUAUCAGAAGUGCGAAUGCUGACAUAAGUAACGAUAAAGCGGGUGAAAAGCCCGCUCGCCGGAAGACCAAGGGUUCCUGUCCAACGUUAAUCGGGGCAGGGUGAGUCGACCCCUAAGGCGAGGCCGAAAGGCGUAGUCGAUGGGAAACAGGUUAAUAUUCCUGUACUUGGUGUUACUGCGAAGGGGGGACGGAGAAGGCUAUGUUGGCCGGGCGACGGUUGUCCCGGUUUAAGCGUGUAGGCUGGUUUUCCAGGCAAAUCCGGAAAAUCAAGGCUGAGGCGUGAUGACGAGGCACUACGGUGCUGAAGCAACAAAUGCCCUGCUUCCAGGAAAAGCCUCUAAGCAUCAGGUAACAUCAAAUCGUACCCCAAACCGACACAGGUGGUCAGGUAGAGAAUACCAAGGCGCUUGAGAGAACUCGGGUGAAGGAACUAGGCAAAAUGGUGCCGUAACUUCGGGAGAAGGCACGCUGAUACGUAGGUGAAGUCCCUUGCGGAUGGAGCUGAAAUCAGUCGAAGAUACCAGCUGGCUGCAACUGUUUAUUAAAAACACAGCACUGUGCAAACACGAAAGUGGACGUAUACGGUGUGACGCCUGCCCGGUGCCGGAAGGUUAAUUGAUGGGGUUAGCGGUAACGCGAAGCUCUUGAUCGAAGCCCCGGUAAACGGCGGCCGUAACUAUAACGGUCCUAAGGUAGCGAAAUUCCUUGUCGGGUAAGUUCCGACCUGCACGAAUGGCGUAAUGAUGGCCAGGCUGUCUCCACCCGAGACUCAGUGAAAUUGAACUCGCUGUGAAGAUGCAGUGUACCCGCGGCAAGACGGAAAGACCCCGUGAACCUUUACUAUAGCUUGACACUGAACAUUGAGCCUUGAUGUGUAGGAUAGGUGGGAGGCUUUGAAGUGUGGACGCCAGUCUGCAUGGAGCCGACCUUGAAAUACCACCCUUUAAUGUUUGAUGUUCUAACGUUGGCCCCUAAUCGGGGUUGCGGACAGUGUCUGGUGGGUAGUUUGACUGGGGCGGUCUCCUCCUAAAGAGUAACGGAGGAGCACGAAGGUUGGCUAAUCCUGGUCGGACAUCAGGAGGUUAGUGCAAUGGCAUAAGCCAGCUUGACUGCGAGCGUGACGGCGCGAGCAGGUGCGAAAGCAGGUCAUAGUGAUCCGGUGGUUCUGAAUGGAAGGGCCAUCGCUCAACGGAUAAAAGGUACUCCGGGGAUAACAGGCUGAUACCGCCCAAGAGUUCAUAUCGACGGCGGUGUUUGGCACCUCGAUGUCGGCUCAUCACAUCCUGGGGCUGAAGUAGGUCCCAAGGGUAUGGCUGUUCGCCAUUUAAAGUGGUACGCGAGCUGGGUUUAGAACGUCGUGAGACAGUUCGGUCCCUAUCUGCCGUGGGCGCUGGAGAACUGAGGGGGGCUGCUCCUAGUACGAGAGGACCGGAGUGGACGCAUCACUGGUGUUCGGGUUGUCAUGCCAAUGGCACUGCCCGGUAGCUAAAUGCGGAAGAGAUAAGUGCUGAAAGCAUCUAAGCACGAAACUUGCCCCGAGAUGAGUUCUCCCUGACUCCUUGAGAGUCCUGAAGGAACGUUGAAGACGACGACGUUGAUAGGCCGGGUGUGUAAGCGCAGCGAUGCGUUGAGCUAACCGGUACUAAUGAACCGUGAGGCUUAACCUUACAACGCCGAAG
rnacentral:rRNA from 1 species